rnacentral:rRNA from 1 species
UACGGGGGGGGCAAGCGUUGUUCGGAAUUACUGGGCGUAAAGGGCUCGUAGGCGGCCAACUAAGUCAUACGUGAAAUCCCUCGGCUUAACCGGGGAACUGCGUCUGAUACUGGAUGGCUUGAGUUCGGGAGAGGGAUGCGGAAUUCCAGGUGUAGCGGUGAAAUGCGUAGAUAUCUGGAGGAACACCGGUGGCGAAGGCGGGUCUCUGGACAGUUCCUGACACUGAGACACGAAGGCCAGGGGAGCAAACGGG